GUGGCGGUGGAGGAGGAGGAUGAGGUAGCCAACACUGUUUUUAUAUAUAUAUAUAUAUAUAUAUAUUUAUUUUAAUUGGGGUAGCCCCCAAAAUAUUGGGACAUAUAAAAAAAGACAACUCUGUUCCGUAGAGUAGCUGUUGACAUUACAGUUGCGCAGGAACUUUGUUGACUCUAGAGAACCCUGGGCAAAUCGCACAUCCCCGUGUCGGCGACUUUGCAUGCAGAUGUCAUCCAUAUCAACUUUUGAUGCCAGUUUCUGCGCCUACCAUGGUGACCACGGGUAACGGGCAAUCAGGGUUCCAUUCCGUACAGGGACCCUGAGAAACGACUACCACAUGCAAGGAUG